rnacentral:rRNA from 1 species
GAUGAACGCUGGCGGCGUGCUUAACACAUGCAAGUCGAACGGAGCUUGUUGGAUUGAGGUUUCGGCCAAAUGAAUUCAAGCUUAGUGGCGGACGGGUGAGUAACGCGUGAGGAACCUGCCUUGGAGUGGGGAAUAACAGUUAGAAAUGACUGCUAAUACCGCAUAAUGCAAUUGAGUCGCAUGGCUCUGAUUGCCAAAGAUUUAUCGCUCUAAGAUGGCCUCGCGUCUGAUUAGCUAGUUGGUGGGGUAACGGCCCACCAAGGCGCCGAUCAGUAAGCGGACUGAGAGGUUGAUCGGCCACAUUGGGACUGAGACACGGCCCAGAGGCCUACGGGAGGCAGCAGUGGGGGAUAUUGCACAAUGGGCGAAAGCCUGAUGCAGCGACGCCGCGUGAGGGAAGACGGUUUUCGGAUUGUAAACCUCUGUCUUCGGGGACGAAAAUGACGGUACCCGAGGAGGAUGCCACGGCUAACUACGUGCCAGCCGCCGCAGUGAAAC